UGGGGAAUAUUGCACAAUGGGCGAAAGCCUGAUGCAGCAAUGCCGCGUGUGUGAAGAAGGCCUGCGGGUUGUAAAGCACUUUUCGGUAGGAAAGAUUAUGACGGUACCUACAGAAGAAGCACCGGCUAACUCCGUGCCAGCAGCCGCGGUAAUACGGAGGGUGCAAGCGUUAAUCGGAAUUACUGGGCGUAAAGCGCGUGUAGGCGGUCUUGUAAGUCGGAUGUGAAAUCCCCGGGCUCAACCUGGGAACUGCAUUCGAUACUGCUCGACUAGGGUAUGGAAGAGGGAAGCGGAAUUCCGGGUGUAGCGGUGAAAUGCGUAGAUAUCCGGAGGAACACCAGUGGCGAAGGCGGCUUCCUGGUCCAAUACUGACGCUGAGACGCGAAAGCGUGGGGAGCAAACAGGAUUAGAUACCCAUGUAGUCCCUGAGCGGGCUGGCAAGGCGCAU
rnacentral:rRNA from 1 species